rnacentral:rRNA from 1 species
UGCAGUCGAGCGGACAGAUGGGAGCUUGCUCCCUGAUGUUAGCGGCGGACGGGUGAGUAACACGUGGGUAACCUGCCUGUAAGACUGGGAUAACUCCGGGAAACCGGGGCUAAUACCGGAUGGUUGUUUGAACCGCAUGGUUCAAACAUAAAAGGUGGCUUCGGCUACCACUUACAGAUGGACCCGCGGCGCAUUAGCUAGUUGGUGAGGUAACGGCUCACCAAGGCAACGAUGCGUAGCCGACCUGAGAGGGUGAUCGGCCACACUGGGACUGAGACACGGCCCAGACUCCUACGGGAGGCAGCAGUAGGGAAUCUUCCGCAAUGGACGAAAGUCUGACGGAGCAACGCCGCGUGAGUGAUGAAGGUUUUCGGAUCGUAAAGCUCUGUUGUUAGGGAAGAACAAGUACCGUUCGAAUAGGGCGGUACCUUGACGGUACCUAACCAGAAAGCCACGGCUAACUACGUGCCAGCAGCCGCGGUAAUACGUAGGUGGCAAGCGUUGUCCGGAAUUAUUGGGCGUAAAGGGCUCGCAGGCGGUUUCUUAAGUCUGAUGUGAAAGCCCCCGGCUCAACCGGGGAGGGUCAUUGGAAACUGGGGAACUUGAGUGCAGAAGAGGAGAGUGGAAUUCCACGUGUAGCGGUGAAAUGCGUAGAGAUGUGGAGGAACACCAGUGGCGAAGGCGACUCUCUGGUCUGUAACUGACGCUGAGGAGCGAAAGCGUGGGGAGCGAACAGGAUGAGAUACCCUGGUAGUCCACGCCGUAAACGAUGAGUGCUAAGUGUAGGGGUUUGUAU